rnacentral:rRNA from 1 species
GACGAACGCUGGCGGCGUGGAUUAGGCAUGCAAGUCGAACGGGGUAUUUGAGCAAUCGAAUACUUAGUGGCGAACGGGUGAGUAACGCGUUGGUGACCUGCCCCAAAGCGGGGGAUAACAGCCUGAAAGGGUUGCUAAUACCGCAUAUGAUCAAGGGAGACUAGAAGCUCUUGAUUAAAGGAGAAAUCCACUUUGGGAGGGGCCUGCGUCCCAUCAGCUAGUUGGUAGGGUAAAAGCCUACCAAGGCGAUGACGGGUAGGGGACCUGAGAGGGUGACCCCCCACAAUGGAACUGAAACACGGUCCAUACACCUACGGGUGGCAG